rnacentral:misc_RNA from 1 species
GAUGAAGAACGUAGCGAAAUGCGAUAAGUAAUGUGAAUUGCAGAAUUCAGUGAAUCAUCGAAUCUUUGAACGCACAUUGCGCCCGCCAGUAUUCUGGCGGGCAUGCCUGUCCGAGCGUCAUUUCAACCCUCGGGACCCUUCGGGGAACCGGUGUUGGGGACCCGUCCGCCGACCCACGGCGGCCGGCCCCGAAAUACAGUGGCGGCCCUGCGGCGACCUCCUCUGCGUAGUAGCGAUACCUCGCAGCUGGAAAGCGGCAGCGGCCACGCCGUAAAACCCCCACUUCUAUGGUUGGCCUCGGAUCAGGUAGGAAUACCCGCUGAACUUAAGCAUAUCAAUAAGCGGAGGA